UCCGGCGCGCCUGGGGCCGCCGUUGCCGCCGCUACUGAGGCUGCGGCUAUAGCUAGCGCGGCGGCUCCUCACAAAAUGGCGGCGCCCAUGGAAGCGGCAGCCCCAUUUUGUGCCCGGCAGAGCCUGUCAACAAAACGCCGACUUGGCCAAGGCUGAGGAACAGAAGGCGGCGGCUCGUUCGCGUUACAGAGAGCGGAGGGAGGAGAGCGAAGGAUUUCACCGCCCUCCCGCCGCCGAGAGGAGACUUUCUAUCAAGUUGCGUGCCUUAUGAAUAAACCGGCUAUUAGGCUGAUGCUUCAAGUAACACUAUCCAGCACCAAGCUUGGUUCUUCACCUUACAGCUGAAAUAGUUGGAGAUCCCCCAGGAGAAGGUCGUGAAGCUGGUACUAGUGUUACACCACCGGUUUUGUUGGGUUUAUACUGACGGGGGCUCCCCUCUGUUUUUGAGGUAGAGAAGGGGCUUGUGAGUUAAGACUCUUUUUUUUUUUUUUUUCCUGAUUUAUCUGUCUUAAUACGCAUGCAUUUUAAUGGUGUUAAAUAAAGGUGAUGACCUGUUUCUGGUGGAAGUGAUAAUUUUUAAAUAUACCAAAAUUACGUUGAUACUUAAGAAUGCCAAAAGAAUCUCUUGUUGCAUAUU